AUUCAAUGAAGGAUAUCUUGUGAUUUGCGAUUGUGUUGUGUUUUGGAGGUAGCUUUUGUUGGAGCACAAAGUGGAGGUCAUUGGUUCCCGAGGGAGGCAACUGAUGGGGGUUAAAUUGCUAUAGGAGAUAGGUCCCUGUAGUCAUCCAACUCCCCUUUGAAGAUCAGCUCCACUUUCUUCUAUCUAUAAGUGGCCUAAUGUUUUACAGUACUAGUGUCUGGGCUAGAAAGGGACUCACCAUUUUCUUAGGCAGCAGAAAAUGAGUGACUUGGCUAUGAGAGUGUUUCUUUUCAAUUUGAUCCGAAUGCUUGUGAUGUCUGCAUCUCUAUGCUUUUGGGUGUGGCUUAGGCUAUAUUGUUUCUCUUGCUUUUUGCUGUUUGGCACUGUUGGUAAUUUUGGUUGUGCUUUAGGUACUUCUCUAAGCCUAGCGGUGAUGUUAAUGUGGUGAGGAAUUUGUGGAGAAAUUUGGUUGGGGUUAGU
rnacentral:misc_RNA from 1 species